CACGGCCCCCGCUCCUCGCCGUGCAACGGCCCAGCCUCCGCAGCGGGUAGGCAACGCCUCCGCUUCCUGCCCCUGCUGCGUAACAGGGCCUGGCCUGUCUCUGAUGCCCGAGUUCCUGUCUUGCUGUCAGUCUCAUUUCUGUUACGCAGACAGUUCAUCCCAUUGGAAUCAAUAGACCCCACAACCCACCAAGGGGAUCCAAGCAAGAUCUCAGUAAAACCACCUGCUGGAGAAGCCCUUCCCUAAACUGGCUGUGAACUAUACAGAUACUCUACAUUAAAUCCAAAGUUCCAGUUAAAUUACAGUACUGCACUUCUCAGAUGGCCAGAUUUACACACUCAAGACACAGAAAAAAAAGAAACUAAAAUUCCAAAUAACAAAGACCUUGCAAACAGGAGGAAAUCAGGUAAGAUCCUAGCAGGAGAAAAACUGCCCAGAAAAGGUGCCUACCCAUUCGCCUCUCUCUGACCUGACAGACUCACUCACAGCUCCACUCAUGAUGAUAAACAGGAUCAUAUCCGUAUGAGCACAACACAAAUAAUUCAUCUCAGGAACACACACUGGUAUCCCCUGCUUUAGAGUCCCAUCUCCCAGGGUGGAAAAUAAUAAUAAUGUUUUAAAGGUAAACAUUUUUAAAACAAGAAAUAAAUCCAGGUAAUAAUGUCCUGGGGAACA
rnacentral:lncRNA from 1 species